UACAGAGGGUGCAAGCGUUAAUCGGAAUGACUGGGCGUAAAGGGCGCGUAGGUGGUUGAUGAAGUGAGAUGUAAAAUCCCUGGGCUUAACCUAGGAAGGUCAUUUCAUACUGGUUGACUAGAGUACAGGAGAGGGCAGUGGAAUUUCCGGUGUAGCGGUGAAAUGCGUAGAUAUCGGAAGGAACACCAGUGGCGAAGGCGUCUGCCUGGCCUGAUACUGACACUGAGGCGCGAAAGCGUGGGUAGCGAACAGG
rnacentral:rRNA from 1 species